rnacentral:misc_RNA from 1 species
AACGUGAAGCACCAGCAACAAGAGCCUUAUUCUUCCUUUGCAGAAUCCAGUCAACCGAUAAGAUUUGGGCCUGAUCAGAUGAAAUCUACCUCCCAGGGGCCGAAAGUAGUGCGGAUGUACUCAGGUUCAUCUUCACAGCCAGCUGAAUAUUCAUUGAAAGAGACAAGCCCUGUCCUUGGAGGAGGGCGUGUAGUAGGGGGUCGAGUUGUUCGAGGUGGCAGAAAGUCCAGCACAUAUGACCUUGUUGAGCCUAUGCAAUUCCUGUUUGUAAGAGUUGUAAAAGCACAGGAUUUGCCUUCUAAAGAUAUCACAGGAAGUCUUGACCCUUAUGUUGAAGUAAGAGUUGGGAACUACAAAGGAGUCACACAACACUUUGAGAAAAAUCAAAGUCCAGAAUGGAAUACUGUAUUUGCUUUUUCCAAAGAAAGAAUGCAGUCUUCUGUUUUGGAUGUUGUGGUUAAGGAUAAGGAUAUGUUGAAAGAUGAUUUUGUUGGGAUUGUUCGAGUUGAUCUGCAUGAUGUUCCAACCCGAGUUGCUCCAGAUAGUCCAUUGGCUCCAGAGUGGUACCGCCUGGAAAACAAGAAAGGGGAGAAAAAGAAGGGGGAACUGAUGCUAGCUGUGUGGAUUGGUACACAAGCUGACGAAGCAUUUCCUGAUGCUUUCCAUACAGAUGUAGCUAGUCCUAUAGAUAUGUCAGUGCCGUCCACCCAAAUCCGCGGAAAAGUGUACCAUUCUCCUAGGCUGUGGUAUGUUCGUGUCAAUGUUAUUGAAGCACAAGACUUGGUUGUGUCAGAGAAAAAUCGUAUUCCUGAUGUCUUUGUAAAGGUUCGGAUUGGUAGCCAGUUGCUGAGGACUAAACCAAUUAGAUCUCAAACUAUGAAUGCUAUGUGGAAUGAGGAUCUGAUGUUCGUUGCUGCUGAGCCUUUUGAAGAACAUCUGAUACUUUCAGUUGAAGAUCAUGUUGCUUCCAACAAAGAUGAGGCCCUGGGAGUGGUCAUUAUACCAUUAUCCACUGUUGAAAAGCGUGCGGAUGAUCGAUUUGUUCGAUCAAGAUGGUACAACCUCCAAGAACCAGGUUCAGCUGAGAUUGAAGAGCCAAAGAAGAAAGAAAAGUUUUCCAGUAGGAUCCAUCUUCGUGUAACACUUGAUGGAGGAUACCAUGUACUUGAUGAGUCAACUCAUUAUAGUAGUGAUCUUCGACCUACGGCGAAGCAGCUGUGGAAGCCAUCAAUUGGUAUACUGGAAUUAGGUAUCCUGAAUGUUGAUGGACUUCACCCAUCAAAAACAAGAGAUGGAAGGGGUACAACAGAUACAUAUUGUGUGGCGAAGUAUGGUCAUAAGUGGGUGCGGACCAGGACGGUUAUCGACAGCUUAAAUCCGAAGUUCAAUGAGCAAUACACUUGGGAAGUCUAUGACCCAGCAACCGUUCUGACAGUUGGGGUGUUUGACAAUGGACAGCUUGAAGAAAAAGGUUCAAAUGGCAAAAGAGACAUGAGAAUUGGGAAGGUUCGUAUACGGGUCUCAACACUUGAAACUGGUCGAGUAUACACACAUUCUUAUCCAUUGCUCAUCCUUCAUCCCUCGGGUGUGAAGAAGAUGGGAGAAUUGCAUCUCGCCAUACGAUUUUCAUGUGCAUCAAUGGUCAACAUGAUGUUUCUCUACUCUAGACCGCUAUUACCAAAAAUGCAUUAUGUGAAGCCAUUGUCUGUAACACAGCAAGAUAUGCUGCGAUAUCAAGCUGUAAAUAUUGUGGCUGCAAGGCUAAGCCGUGCAGAACCUCCUCUCAGAAAAGAAGUGGUUGAAUACAUGAGUGACGCAGAUGCACACCUCUGGAGCAUGAGACGCAGCAAAGCAAACUUUUUCAGACUAAUGUCUGUCUUUAGUGGAUUAUUCUCUGUUGGGAAAUGGUUCGGAGAUGUAUGCAUGUGGAAGAAUCCUAUCACGACAUCAUUAGUACAUGUUCUCUUCCUUAUGCUUGUCUGUUUCCCAGAAUUAAUCCUCCCAACAGUGUUUCUGUACAUGUGUCUAAUAGGUCUUUGGAACUAUCAGUACCGGCCAAGGUACCCUCCUCAUAUGAACACAAGAAUAUCACAUGCUGAUUUAACACAUCCUGAUGAGCUUGAUGAGGAAUUCGACACCUUUCCUACAUCACGGAGUUCAGAUCUUGUUAGGAUGCGGUAUGACCGUCUUAGAAGUUUAGCUGGUCGAAUUCAGACAGUAGUAGGAGAUGUGGCGACACAAGGUGAGCGAAUCCUGGCAUUGCUUAGUUGGCGAGACCCGCGUGCCACUGUACUAUUCAUUAUAUUCUGCCUGCUUGCCGCCAUUGUGUUGUAUUCUACACCUUUUCAGUUGUUUGCCGGCCUGUUUGGCUUUUACGCAAUGAGGCAUCCCAGGUUCCGCCACAAAUUGCCAUCUGCACCCCUGAAUUUCUUUCGCCGACUUCCAGCUCAGACUGAUAGUAUGCUAUAGGUUGCUGGUGUUAUGUUGAAAGUUUUCUGUGAUAUUUUCUGAAAUCCGAUUUCAAUCAUUGUCCUCAAGGAAAAUUUUGUCAUAUUGUCAUUUGUCAAGGAGUUGGAACAAAGCUCAGGGACCUGAUAAAUAAGACCAGGAAACCAAAGAAAUGUUCAAAAGUUUGAUUUGUUUCUGUAUGUUGUGCAGCAACUUAUUUGCAUUCUUAGCACAUUUUGCAGAUUUGCCAUGGUUCAUGGAAUCUAAAAUGGAUCAGGCAAAGAUGCUGAGAACUAUCUGUAUGUGUAUAUCAGAUGUGUACUGUUUAUUUUCUACAAAGUGCAUAAAAUCCAGUUGACAUAUAUAUAAUAUCUUUUUUCUGUACUUGGUGUUUAAUAACAUCUGAUUGUUAACCAUCCUGCGGUAUCAAAAUCAGAAAUUACUGAUUGUAAUAAAUUGAAAAUAUUUU